rnacentral:sRNA from 1 species
AUGACGGCGCAGUAUCCUAGUCGGAGCGGAUGAUUCUUAGGGAGGGCCUAAAAAUCCUCUAAAGGGCAUAUCGAUGAAGUCCCUGGUGCUUGCUUGUUACGCCCAGUUUCGGGUGGGUGCUGGGGGUUAAGGUUUUCGGGCGGUACUCAAUGGCAUGAGAUAUUCGACCCGGAUUCCGUGGAGACCUGUUCUUGUGCGUCAGCCAGCGUAUCCCUUGUGGGUGCCAACGGACUGCGUACGACUCAGGAUUAAACCUGUAAUGUGGUGUAAGUAGCUGCGUACAGCGUAGCCUGCCUUGCGUGAAGGUGGGGGGAGAGAGGAGCUAUGCACACACGCCUGCCGGCCGCAGGUGGUGGUGAUAUUCUCUUGAAACCACGUUUGCAAAAGAGGCUAAUGGAUCAUUCCGCCCGCCGUGGAAAGCACCUAGGCUGUCCUUUGGGGCAGACGGGGGAUUGCAGUGCGGACUAAGUGGCAAUCUGGCACCGGUGUGGGCAACCACCCGGCGUGGUACUUAAAGGGAAACCGCUCCUGCGGCAACGGGGAGUGCACUGCGGGGAAAACCGGCCAGACCUAAGCCGUAAGAUUAAUCCCGUCUGCUGCCGUCAUCUUAAA